UGUCGUCAGCUCGUGUUGUGAAAUGUUGGGUUAAGUCCCGCAACGAGCGCAACCCUUAUCCUUUGUUGCCAGCGGUCCGGCCGGGAACUCAAAGGAGACUGCCAGUGAUAAACUGGAGGAAGGUGGGGAUGACGUCAAGUCAUCAUGGCCCUUACGACCAGGGCUACACACGUGCUACAAUGGCGCAUACAAAGAGAAGCGACCUCGCGAGAGCAAGCGGACCUCAUAAAGUGCGUCGUAGUCCGGAUUGGAGUCUGCAACUCGACUCCAUGAAGUCGGAAUCGCUAGUAAUCGUGGAUCAGAAUGCCACGGUGAAUACGUUCCCGGGCCUUGUACACACCGCCCGUCACACCAUGGGAGUGGGUUGCAAAAGAAGUAGGUAGCUUAACCUUCGGGAGGGCGCUUACCACUUUGUGAUUCAUGACUGGGGUGAAGUCGUAACAAGG
rnacentral:rRNA from 1 species